AUGACACUGGCUAGCUUGCUGUGGGCUCUCCUGCUUCCCAUCUGUCUUGGAGUCGGUGUGGCCCAGAAAGUCACUCAGUCCCAACAAGAAAUAUCCAUACAAGAGGCAGCUACAGCAACCCUGGAUUGUACAUAUGACACUACAGACAGUAAUUAUUAUUUGUUCUGGUACAAGCAACUUCGGAGAGGGCAGAUGAUUUUCAUUAUUCGCCAAGAGGCUUAUAAGCAGCAGAACGCUACUGAGGCUCGCUUCUCUGUGAAUUUCCAGAAAGCGACUAAGUCCUUCAGUCUCAAGAUUUCAGGCUCAGAGCUGGCGGAUGCUGCCAUGUACUUCUGUGCUUACUCUGGGGGUAACCAGAAGCUGGCGUUUGGGCAGGGCACCAGGCUGACUGUCCACCCAGUCAUUAAGGAACCGGAACCUGCCGUGUACCAGCUGAGAGAUCCAAAAUCCAGCAAUGUCUCCGUCUGCCUGUUCACCGAUUUUGAUUCUAACGUCAACGUGUCAGAAGUUGUGGGGUCAGAAGUGUCUCACAUUGAGCAAACUGUGCUGGACAUGAAGUCCCUGGAUUCCAAGAGCAACGGUGCCGUGGCCUGGAGCAACAAGAACAAUUUUAAUUGUACAAAUGCCUUCCAAAAGAAUACGUUCUACUCCAGCUCAGACUUUCCCUGUAAUGCCAAAUUGGUAGAAGAAAGCUUUGAAACAGAUAUGAACCUAAACCUUCAAAACCUGUCAGUGAUUGGCCUCCGAAUCCUCCUCCUGAAAGUGGCCGGAUUUAACCUGCUUAUGACACUGCGGCUAUGGUCCAGCUGAGGUCGGAAGGCUGUAUGGGCCAGUGUUCCUUUGCUCCUUCCUGCCCUUCUUCGGACAGAAGGGAGCUCUCCUGCUCCGUGCAGGAGGUGCCCAUCAUCGCGCUGACCACCAUGUCGAUGCUGAAUUUGUGAUGAAGACUGCUAAAGAGCUGCCAAACGCUGCUGCCACCCCCACCCCAACCCCCGCUUCCCUUAUCACUGCUUGUCACAAUUCAUGGCAAAGGUGAUGCUGCGAAGAAAACCCUCCCCUCCACGAGACAGCCUCUGCUGUCCCACUGGGUGACCAGUCCCCAGUGGGGUCUCUGGUUUAGAGAAUGUUGUGAAGUCUUUAUUUUUCAUAUAGUGCUUGUAAAAACAUAUAUAAAUUCUUCUUCGCAAGAUGUAGAAUAAAAUCAUCUCGUUCCAGUGGUGGCAAACCUAUGGCAAUAUGCCGCAGUGGGUGGUUUGCUAUCACUGAAAGCUCUAAAAGGUUUGCCAUCCUGCUAGACCCUGCCGCUAUGCUGAGACCUGAACCUCAAUGUGUAUUAUUCUACUGUCCUGGCUUCAUUAAACGUGAUC